UACGAAGGGUGCAAACGUUGCUCGGAAUUAUUGGGCGUAAAGCGCACGUAGGCGGCUUUGCAAGUCGGAUGUGAAAUCCCUCGGCUUAACCAAGGAAGUGCAUCCGAAACUGCAGAGCUUGAGUACUUAAGAGGAUCGCGGAAUUCCCGGUGUAGAGGUGAAAUUCGUAGAUAUCGGGAGGAACACCAGUGGCGAAGGCGGCGAUCUGGGAUAACACUGACGCUCAUGCACGAAAGCGUGGGGAGCAAACAGG
rnacentral:rRNA from 1 species